UAGAGUUUGAUCAUGGCUCAGAGCGAACGCUGGCGGUAUGCUUAACACAUGCAAGUCGAGCGAGAAAGUGGCUUCGGCCACGAGUACAGCGGCGGACGGGUGCGUAACACGUGGAUAAUCUGCCUUCAGGUCUGGGAUAACCCUGGGAAACUAGAGCUAAUACCGGAUAAGACCACAGGUUCCAUGGAACCAAGGGUAAAAGGCGGCCUUCGGGCUGUCUCCUGAAGAUGAGUCCGCGUCCCAUCAGGUUGUUGGUGAGGUAACGGCUCACCAAGCCGAAGACGGGUAGCCGACCUUAGCGGGUGAUCGGCCACACGGGGACUGAGACACGGCCCCGACUCCUACGGGAGGCAGCAGUGGGGAAGCUUGGGCAAUGGGCGAAAGCCUGACCCAGCAAUACCGCGUGAGGGAUGAAGGCCUUCGGGUCGUAAACCUCUGUCAGCAGGAACGAUGGGUCUCCGUGCUAAUACCACGGAGACUUGACGGUACCUGCAAAGGAAGCCCCGGCUAACUCCGUGCCAGCAGCCGCGGUAAUACGGAGGGGGCAAGCGUUGCUCGGAAUUACUGGGCGUAAAGGGUCCGCAGGUGGCCUCGUAAGUUGAAUGUGAAAUCUCAGGCUUACCCUGAAACUGCAUCCAAUACUGCGAGGCUUGAGUCCAGAGAGGUUGGCGGAAUUCCCGGUGUAGCGGUGAUAUGCGUAGAUAUCGGGAGGACACCAGUGGCGAAGCGGCCAACUGGCUUGGACUGACACUCAGGGACGAAAGCGUGGGGUA
rnacentral:rRNA from 1 species